rnacentral:rRNA from 1 species
UAGGGAAUCUUCCACAAUGGACGCAAGUCUGAUGGAGCAACGCCGCGUGAGUGAAGAAGGUUUUCGGACCGUAAAGCUCUGUUGUGGUGAAGAAGGAUAGAGGUAGUAACUGGCCUUUAUUUGACGGUAAUCAACCAGAAAGUCACGGCUAACUACGUGCCAGCGGCCGCGGUAAUACGUAGGUGGCAAGCGUUGUCCGGAUUUAUUGGGCGUAAAGCGAGCGCAGGCGGAAGAAUAAGUCUGAUGUGAAAGCCCUCGGCUUAACCGAGGAAUUGCAUCGGAAACUGUUUUCUUGAGUGCAGAAGAGGAGAGUAGAACUCCAUGUGUAGCGGUGGAAUGCGUAGAUAUAUGGAAGAAUACCAGUGGCGAAGGCGGCUCUCUGGUCUGCAACUGACGCUGAGGCUCGAAAGCAUGGGUAGCGAACAGGAUUAGAUACCCUGGUAGUCCAUGCCGUAAACGAUGAGUGCUAAGUGUUGGGAGGCUUCCGCCUCUCAGUGCUGCAGCUAACGCAUUAAGCACUCCGCCUGGGGGAGUACGACCGCAA